UCCUGUUCCUUCUUAGUGGAAAAAGGAUACUGUGAAAAUGAAAUGAGUCAUCAGCCAUGAAUUCAGGGCUGUCCAAUAUUCAUGUAUUAUGUGAGCAAGGCCUGCACUAUGAGCAGAGGGUAUAAACAACAUGGGAUCAUUUCAAGGCACCCACGGAUGGGGAAAUGGACCAAUGGCUCUUCACAGACAUAAGGCUGGCCUGUGAGAAGAGGUCUGUGUGUGGACUCUAGGGGACAGCACAGGGAGUGGGCAGUGCCUCAGCUGGCCACUGGAAGAGACCCCUUGGGAGGCUCCCUGGAGGAGCCAGAAGAGGAUGGCUAAAGCACCUAUGUAUGCCACUCCAGAACCGAGAGAGGAGUGGCCCCUGCUUUGCACCUUCCUGUGCAUCGUUAGUGACAGACUGCACCUCACACAGGCCCCAGGAUAUGGUGGCUGAGACAGUGAACUCAAAUCUGAGGCUGGCAUUGGUGCCUGUGUUAACCUCCUUGGUAGCAGCGUUACCUCACCUCCCGGCUUUGUGGAUUCGCUACUCUAACUCCAAGCCAAUCAUCAUUACAAAUGUCUGCCAGAUCUUUCACUGUAAGUCACCUUAAUUCCUUCUUUGGAAAAAAGGGGGCUAUGAAUGUGUAUGAAUAAUUAUGCUCACAUCUUCUCUUUGUACCGCAUCAAUCUGUACCUUGCUGUGUGCUGCCUCAAAGAUGUACUAUCAGAUCUUUGUACCAAGAGCUUGUAUCUUUGUGUCUGCAGGUAGGAGGUGGCCAGUGGGUGUCUCCAGGUGAGGUGGAGGAGGAGGUGGGAGAUGCCACCAACACUCGGAGCCAAUGGCGGACUUGAACUCCACCACACUAAUAAAAACCCAUAGAUGCACUGGAUCUAUUUGUAUGAAAGAAUGAAUGACUAAGUUAAUGAAUGAGUGCUUUUUCUGAGCCAAGAGAGUCUUCUCAUAGGAGAGGGAGCAAGGGCUGUUUGGCGUAAGGCCCAUCCUCAGGCUGCAGAGGACAGUCAAGGUC